UGGGGAAUAUUGGACAAUGGGCGCAAGCCUGAUCCAGCCAUGCCGCGUGAGUGAUGAAGGCCUUAGGGUUGUAAAGCUCUUUCGCCGGUGAAGAUAAUGACGGUAACCGGAGAAGAAGCCCCGGCUAACUUCGUGCCAGCAGCCGCGGUAAUACGAAGGGGGCUAGCGUUGCUCGGAAUCACUGGGCGUAAAGCGCACGUAGGCGGAUCGUUAAGUCAGGGGUGAAAUCCUGGAGCUCAACUCCAGAACUGCCCUUGAUACUGGCGAUCUCGAGUUCGAGAGAGGUUGGUGGAACUCCGAGUGUAGAGGUGAAAUUCGUAGAUAUUCGGAAGAACACCAGUGGCGAAGGCGGCCAACUGGCUCGAUACUGACGCUGAGGUGCGAAAGCGUGGGGAGCAAAACAGGAUUAGAUACCCUGGUAGUCCACGCCGUAAACGAUGGAUGCUAGCCGUUGGGGGGUUUACCUCUCAGUGGCGCAGCUAACGCCUUAAGCAUCCCGCCUGGGGAGUACGGUCGCAAGAUUAAAACUCAAAUGAAUU
rnacentral:rRNA from 1 species